AUGAACGCUAGCUACAGGCUUAACACAUGCAAGUCGAGGGGCAUCAGGAAGAAAGCUUGCUUUCUUUGCUGGCGACCGGCGCACGGGUGAGUAACACGUAUCCAACCUGCCCUUUACUCGGGGAUAGCCUUUCGAAAGAAAGAUUAAUACCCGAUGGCAUAAUGAUUCCGCAUGGUUUCAUUAUUAAAGGAUUCCGGUAAAGGAUGGGGAUGCGUUCCAUUAGGUUGUUGGUGAGGUAACGGCUCACCAAGCCUUCGAUGGAUAGGGGUUCUGAGAGGAAGGUCCCCCACAUUGGAACUGAGACACGGUCCAAACUCCUACGGGAGGCAGCAGUGAGGAAUAUUGGUCAAUGGGCGCUAGCCUGAACCAGCCAAGUAGCUUGAAGGAUGAAGGCUCUAUGGGUCGUAAACUUCUUUUAUAUAAGAAUAAAGUGCAGUAUGUAUACUGUUUUGUAUGUAUUAUAUGAAUAAGGAUCGGCUAACUCCGUGCCAGCAGCCGCGGUAAUACGGAGGAUCCGAGCGUUAUCCGGAUUUAUUGGGUUUAAAGGGAGCGUAGGUGGACUGGUAAGUCAGUUGUGAAAGUUUGCGGCUCAACCGUAAAAUUGCAGUUGAUACUGUCAGUCUUGAGUACAGUAGAGGUGGGCGGAAUUCGUGGUGUAGCGGUGAAAUGCUUAGAUAUCACGAAGAACUCCGAUUGCGAAGGCAGCUCACUGGACUGCAACUGACACUGAUGCUCGAAAGUGUGGGUAUCAAACAGGAUUAGAUACCCUGGUAGUCCACACAGUAAACGAUGAAUACUCGCUGUUUGCGAUAUACAGUAAGCGGCCAAGCGAAAGCAUUAAGUAUUCCACCUGGGGAGUACGCCGGCAACGGUGAAACUCAAAGGAAUUGACGGGGGCCCGCACAAGCGGAGGAACAUGUGGUUUAAUUCGAUGAUACGCGAGGAACCUUACCCGGGCUUAAAUUGCAGUGGAAUGAUGUGGAAACAUGUCAGUGAGCAAUCACCGCUGUGAAGGUGCUGCAUGGUUGUCGUCAGCUCGUGCCGUGAGGUGUCGGCUUAAGUGCCAUAACGAGCGCAACCCUUAUCUUUAGUUACUAACAGGUUAUGCUGAGGACUCUAGAGAGACUGCCGUCGUAAGAUGUGAGGAAGGUGGGGAUGACGUCAAAUCAGCACGGCCCUUACGUCCGGGGCUACACACGUGUUACAAUGGGGGGUACAGAAGGCAGCUAGCGGGUGACCGUAUGCUAAUCCCAAAAGCCUCUCUCAGUUCGGAUCGAAGUCUGCAACCCGACUUCGUGAAGCUGGAUUCGCUAGUAAUCGCGCAUCAGCCACGGCGCGGUGAAUACGUUCCCGGGCCUUGUACACACCGCCCGUCAAGCCAUGGGAGCCGGGGGUACCUGAAGUACGUAACCGCAAGGAUCGUCCUAGGGUAAAACUGGUGACUGGGGCU
rnacentral:rRNA from 1 species